CGCCUCCGGCUCGUUUUGCUCCGCGCGGCGUUCCUGCCGCUCUGCCCCCAGCCUGCAGCGAUGCCUGGGGUUGUUGUGAGCGAAGUGCGGGACCGGCGAGUGGCGGUGUUGAGCCUCGUGCCGUUGGCGUCGGCCGUCGAUCAGCCUGUGCGGACCGCUCUGCAGGGUCUUCGUAUCCUUAGGCAGAUAACAGCAGGAUGCAGGAGCUGAGGGGCGAUGGGAGGGAGGGGAGCGUCCUGCGUGGGAUGGCCCCGCGACCUGCCAUGUGCCUAUGGAAAUGGUGAGAGCGACUUCUGAGGCUGUGAGCGGUGGCUGAUGAGAGAAGCUGAAGAGAGGAGCCUCCGAAUUGAACUGACUGAUAUGGAACGAAAGGGCAUUUGAUUGCAAAUGGAUCAAGAGCGGAGGCCUUCAUCCUGUGCCUGCUUGGCUUCCUGACCUGUUGUGGUAGCUGCAGGCACGAAGCACUAAGAGGAGCACAGG